UUGAACGCUGGCGGCAGGCCUAACACAUGCAAGUCGAGCGGUAACACAGAGGAGCUUGCUCCUUGGGUGACGAGCGGCGGACGGGUGAGUAAUGCCUGGGGAUCUGCCCGAUAGAGGGGGAUAACUACGGGAAACUGUAGCUAAUACCGCAUAAUGUCUACGGACCAAAGUGGGGGCUCUUCGGACCUCAUGCUAUCGGAUGAACCCAGGUGGGAUUAGCUAGUUGGUGAGGUAAUGGCUCACCAAGGCGACGAUCUCUAACUGGUUUGAGAGAAUGACCAGUCACACUGGAACUGAGACACGGUCCAGACUCCUACGGGAGGCAGCAGUGGGGAAUAUUGCACAAUGGGCGCAAGCCUGAUGCAGCCAUGCCGCGUGUGUGAAGAAGGCCUUCGGGUUGUAAAGCACUUUCAGCGGGGAGGAAGGGUCACUAGUUAAUACCUAGUGGCAUUGACGUUACUCGCAGAAGAAGCACCGGCUAACUCCGUGCCAGCAGCCGCGGUAAUACGGAGGGUGCAAGCGUUAAUCGGAAUUACUGGGCGUAAAGCGCACGCAGGCGGUUUGUUAAGUCAGAUGUGAAAUCCCCGAGCUCAACUUGGGAACUGCAUUUGAAACUGGCAAGCUAGAGUCUUGUAGAGGGGGGUAGAAUUCCA
rnacentral:rRNA from 1 species